AAAAAAGAGAGAUUUGUUAACAAUAAUUUCUGAAACUUCAUUACCUUUGUAAUAGAUCUGAAACAUCCUGAAUAAGACAUAAUUUUAAUGCAUGAAUAGCAAGAUAGAAUUGGUCUAACUGUAGGUUACAGAUGACUACAAAAUCUUUUAAUUAGCUUAGAGGCACCUGUGUUGCAAUUUGGUGCAAUUAAUAUCUCUUUAUUUAUUUAUUAAAUUUAUAUAGCUAUCCAUCUCAUGAAAAGUGACUUGGGUGUCAUACAAUAAUUGGUAAAGAACAAUACAUGUAUAAAAACAUACAUUUAAAAACAGAAAAAUCAGCAUUAAAAUGAUUAAAAUUAAAAACACAGUACAAACCCCAAGCAGAAAGAGAGAGUACACCCACCUUAAUCUACAUAAUAUUUACUCAAGCAUUAUUACAUUUCAAUCACAUUAAAUGGGUCUGAUAAAUCUGAUGAUAUUUAUAGUCAAAAUAAGUUUUAUUCACAUAUACACCUUGGUGUAAUAAAGAUUAACAUAUUUUUAUAAGCAUGACAAGUUAUAGAAAGGACAGUUAGGAUAACACUGGCCAGAUUCACUCAUUAUGUUCAACAAAUAUCUAAUUAGUUUCAUUCUUUUAGCUUUGUUAUGUAAAUGUAGGUACCAUGAUUGUGUAAAUGUAGGUACCAUGAUUGUGAAACAUGGUUUACCAUGUAGUAGGAUAUGCAGAUCCAGUAACAUCAGUGGUGGGUUUCUACUGGUUUGCCCCGGUUCGCAUGAACCAAUAGUGGCGGCGAGGCUCCACCCUCCCGCCCGGACAUCAUCACGGACGCUCUGUGCAUGCAUGUGCUCAUAGUUCCCAACCGGUAGCGAAGGUAAGUGGAACCCACUAUUGAGUAACUCUACUAUGUUUUAAUCAAUAAAUCAUGAAUUAAAAUCACAACGGCAUGAUCAAUAAACCUGGAUAUUGUUUGGUUUUAGCCUGCAAUCAUUCUAAAACAUAACUUGAAUGAACACCAUAGAACAUUCUGCGUCUCAAUUUUAGUAAAUAUGUGCGGAAUUGUGUCAACUUCCUUUGCUUUUGAGUACUAUUUAUUAUUUUGUCAUUUGCUCUUUGAUUGUAUGAAAAUGGAACAAUGCUUUCUAAUCACAUUAAAGAGGGAGAAAAAAGUUCUCCUGCGUCAGUUCUCCUGCAGUGGUGCUCCAAAAAUCUGUUAAUCACUAAAUGGUAGAAAAGAGUUUUCUGUAUUUUUUCCUCCCAAUUCAUGGUUAUUUAAAUUUUUGUAGCCCUAAUCUUGUAGGUCAAUAUUUAUUCCCAGUUCCAGUUAGACCUCAAUUAACAGGAUUACAAUCUUAGCUACUGAAGAACUAAUAAAGAAAUGCCCACCCCCUUUUUUUCUACCUACAGAACAAGUGCCCAGGAGAAAGUUUUUUCUGCUCCCAGUUUCCCUGUUUGCAAGCUAGAGUUAUUUUCACAUCAUAGCAGAUGCUAGGUAUCAUCUUGCUAUGUUCUACACAUUUAUACAACUUUCUUGCAACUACUAAAAACCUGGAUAUGUUCAAAUGCAAGCUUAUUAUGCUCAAGAAAAGCAGCACUGAUGCUAUCAGGAUUGUAAGCUGAUAGAACUAUAGAAUGAUUUCUUCAUCCUUUUCAGAAAACAAAUAGAAAAGUUCAAUCUGCAUUUUGAAGGGUGCGUUCUGGGUGCAGAAGGAAUGCGAGGUCAAGUUCUUCUUUAAAUUUUUGGCAGGCUAACAGUGUAACAACUCCUCUCUGUUGGCACGUCAGCAAUGCUUUCUGACUGAUGGUUUCAAAAUUGCUUCUCUACCCAUGGUGGUAUUCAACCUUCAUCAACUAUUGUCUUAAAGCGGGUAAGUAAUAAAACCCCUGUUUUAAAGGUGAAAAAACAAAACAUGGCACUAGAAUUGCAAUCACUUAUGAAACUGCAUGAAGCAAGGUGUGUGUUUAUGUCUGUGUGUGUGUUGUGCAUCUGUGAAUCUACUCUAACUAUCCACAAAUUGGAGUUACUUUGGCUCUUUCCCAAAGGACAUUGGGAGCAUUUGAGAAGAAUUCACUACCCUGCCCUCAAAACAAGCAACGGUUGCACACUCCUCAACCAAAGGGAUUCCACAGGAAGACAGAACAAUGGUCUCACGUGUCCAUUCACCUGACUCAGCCUUCAGAUUUUUGGGCAAGCAUUACUGGAAUGGGAAAUCACCCUUUGGGGAGUCCUAAAAAAUCCUAGUAAAACAGUAAAGUGACCUUAAAUGCUCUGUUUCUAUGGGUAGGGGCUAUAAAAGCAGAGUUACUUGAUACAGCCUUUUCACUUUCCCAGGGGAAUUCAGUUAUGAAACAUGCAAUGAAUUCUCUUAUUUUUUUUAUACUAAAAUAGGACCUAGAUUUGGACUACUUAUGUGAAGGGAGAAGAUCUUACUGUUUCAUUACAGAAAGAGCUUCUCAGUGGUAAUAUCCCACUUAUGAAUUUUUCCUGUCCAAAGUGCCCUCCAUAAUACCAGCAACACUUUUGAGAUUUGUCAGUAUGCCAUC